GACGAACGCUGGCGGCGUGCUUAACACAUGCAAGUCGAGCGGUAAGGCCUUUCGGGGUACACGAGCGGCGAACGGGUGAGUAACACGUGGGUGAUCUGCCCUGCACUUCGGGAUAAGCCUGGGAAACUGGGUCUAAUACCGGAUAUGACCUCCUAUCGCAUGGUGGGUGGUGGAAAGAUUUAUCGGUGCAGGAUGGGCCCGCGGCCUAUCAGCUUGUUGGUGGGGUAAUGGCCUACCAAGGCGACGACGGGUAGCCGACCUGAGAGGGUGACCGGCCACACUGGGACUGAGACACGGCCCAGACUCCUACGGGAGGCAGCAGUGGGGAAUAUUGCACAAUGGGGCGAAAGCCUGAUGCAGCGACGCCGCGUGAGGGACGACGGCCUGGUUCGUAA
rnacentral:rRNA from 1 species